GAUGAACGCUAGCGGGAGGCUUAACACAUGCAAGUCGAGGGGCAUCACGAGGUAGCAAUACUCUGAUGGCGACCGGCAAACGGGUGAGUAACGCGUAUGCAACCUACCCUGUACAGGGGGAUAACCCGGAGAAAUUCGGACUAAUAUCCCGUAAUAAUAUCCGGAGGCAUCUUUGGAUAUUUAAAGUUCCGACGGUACGGGAUGGGCAUGCGUAACAUUAACUGGUUGGUAAGGUAACGGCUUACCAAGGCUAUGAUGUUUAGGGGUCCUGAGAGGGUGGUCCCCCACACUGGUACUGAGACACGGACCAGACUCCUACGGGAGGCAGCAGUGAGGAAUAUUGGUCAAUGGGCGCAAGCCUGAACCAGCCAUCCCGCGUGCAGGAAGACGGCCCUAUGGGUUGUAAACUGCUUUUCCAGGGAGAGAAACUUACGCACGUGUUGCGUGACUGACGGUACCCUGGGAAUAAGCAUCGGCUAACUCCGUG
rnacentral:rRNA from 1 species